CUUUGGCAGCACAUGGCAGUACUAAAAUUGGAACGAUACAGAGAAGAUUAGCAUGGCCCCUGUGCAAGGAUGACACGCAGAUUUGUGCUGUGUUCCAUGUUUUU